GACGAACGCUGGCGGCGUGCCUAAUACAUGCAAGUCGAGCGGACGGAUGGGAGCUUGCUCCCAGACCGUCAGCGGCGGACGGGUGAGUAACACGUGGGCAACCUGCCUGUAAGACUGGGAUAACUCCGGGAAACCGGGGCUAAUACCGGAUAACUCUUUCCCUCACAUGAGGGAAAGCUGAAAGAUGGCAUCUCGCUAUCACUUACAGAUGGGCCCGCGGCGCAUUAGCUAGUUGGUGAGGUAACGGCUCACCAAGGCGACGAUGCGUAGCCGACCUGAGAGGGGGAUCGGCCACACUGGGACUGAGACACGGCCCAGACUCCUACGGGAGGCAGCAGUAGGGAAUCUUCCGCAAUGGACGAAAGUCUGACGGAGCAACGCCGCGUGAGUGAUGAAGGUUUUCGGAUCGUAAAACUCUGUUGUCAGGGAAGAACAAGUACCGGAGUAACUGCCGGUACCUUGACGGUACCUGACCAGAAAGCCACGGCUAACUACGU
rnacentral:rRNA from 1 species